rnacentral:rRNA from 1 species
UACGUAGGGUGCAAGCGUUAAUCGGAAUUACUGGGCGUAAAGCGUGCGCAGGCGGUUGUGUAAGACAGAUGUGAAAUCCCCGGGCUCAACCUGGGAACUGCAUUUGUGACUGCACAGCUGGAGUGCGGCAGAGGGGGAUGGAAUUCCGCGUGUAGCAGUGAAAUGCGUAGAUAUGCGGAGGAACACCGAUGGCGAAGGCAAUCCCCUGGGCCUGCACUGACGCUCAUGCACGAAAGCGUGGGGAUCAAACAGG